AAAGAAAAAAGAAAGUUAUGCUAGAAACUGGGUGAUGGGAAGAUAUAUAUCUAUGCUUCCCAGAUUAUUUCAGUUUGGGUGGAUGAGCACUGAGAGAGAGGAGACAGUGGGGCUGUGGGGUCUGGGGCAGGGACACAUCACGGAAAACUGAGAUUCCACAUUGAGGAUUCUCCCCCCACAUUUUAUUUGAAAAUAUUCACAUUUACAGAAGAGUCGGCAGACCUGUGCGGUGAACACCCACAUGCCCCACCGCCAAGAUUCUACCACCCCAUUCUGCCCCACUAGCGUUAGCCCGUCUCUGCGCCCCUCUGUCCCUCGGUCCAUGUUCUCUUAAUGUGUUUCAAAGGACAUCGCCAACAUCAGUGCACUUAACCCGCCAAUGCUUCAGCGUUCAUGGCAUUAACGGAGCUUUUUUGUUUGUUUCAGGGAACAUUUACAUAUGGUGAAAUGCAUGGACAUUAAGGGUACCAUUGAAAGAGUUCUGUUUUACAUUAUAUUUCCCUUUAUUUCAGGGACUAAACAGUGUUGAUUUUUUUUAUUUUUUAGUUAACAGAGUUUGUUUUUUAAAGCAGUUGUAGGCUUACAGAAAAAUCGAGCAGAAAGUACAAGGAGUUCCCGUGCACUUACUUCUCCACUUGGGCUCCCCGCCACGAACAUCUCACGUUGGUCGGGCACAUCUGCCACCGAUGGACCAAGAUUCACACGAUACCCAAAGUCCACAGCCCACAUCAGGGCUCACGCUUUGUGCUGUACAUCGUAUUGUGUGUUCUGUGAGGUUUGACACGCGCAGUGCCCUGCUGGAUAUGCAGGUCAGCUCCACAGGGGCAGGAGGCAACGGUUGGAGGGUGUGAAGAGCAGCAGGCGAGAGUCACUGGGCACCACCUGGGAGGCCACGCCAGCAGGAGGAGAAAGCUGACAAAGCCACAGUAAGCAGAUCGUGGGCCCAUGUAAUCCGGUGGAUUCACAGUCAGGUUUGGGAGGAGAGGUCACUCAUCUCCACCUGACUCACCGCCGUGCCCGUCCACCUGCGACCGCACGCCUUGGACAACGCCCAGAAGAAAGGUGAUCUGAUCUGGGGGUGGGAGGUGGGGUCAGAGCACCCCCCAGCAGCCGCACACUUCCAGCCACUGCCUGUCACCUGUGCAGAGGGGACGUCCAGACCUGCAGAAACAGGAGGAAGGCAGAGCCGGCCCCGCCCUGCUCAGCUCUGCAGGAGACGCAGACGCUGAGCGAGGGAUGCGCUGCAGACACUGCGGCCGGCUUGGCUUAGGGCCUGCUGAGAAGAUCCCGGGGGAGCCUGCCUGGCCGGCUGGGAUGUCUGUUGCUUGCAGCCCCUAUGGUUCCCCCGUCUGCACAGAACCUCAGUGGGCACAGACGUGUUGGCACAGAGCACCUCACACCAGCCAGGACAGGGAGCACCGUCCCAUUUUACAGAUGGAGAAACCGAGAGGGGAAACUGGCAGCGAGGCCUCGGCUCAGGUCCCAUUUCUGGGCCCCCAUCCCCUGGGCCCAUGGCCCACCCUGCCGCUGUAGGAAAUGGGACAAAAGCUUUUACCCUGCCCCAGCUCUGCAGCCUGGCUCCGCCCAGAGGCUGUUAACGGCCGGCCGCUGGCGACUUCCAGCUAUCGAUGCACUCUAGAAGCUGCUGACACGCAGGCUCUGUCCAGCCCAGACGUAAAUCUCCUUUCUCCUUUCCCUCUGGCUGCACAUCGACCCCAUCUGGUCCCCAGGGGCUGCCGAGUGCCACCUGCUGCUCUGUCCUCCUUAGCUCUAAUUGGGCAAAUUAGUGCACGUCUCCUGCGGCUGCCGGCACAGAUCAGCAAAACAGGACAACAGCAGUUCCUAGAACGGACAGAAACUUCCUCUCCGGUUUGGGAGGCCAGAAGUCUGGAGUCAGGGUCCUUCUCCCCGGUGUCUGCGGCCCCACACGCUCCCAACGCUCCCGCCCGGCAGACGCUCCGGCCACCGGCCGGCCGCCAGGAGCUUCCAGACCACCAAAGACUGCCUGGAGCCACAGUAAAAAGCCAAAAGGAAGCAGGGAUGUCUCGUACCUUGCGCUGCUGGUGCUGCCGUGGCCAUGGACACCCCCCCCCCAGUCCUGCAAAACUGGAGCUGUCCGCACGGAACACUCCCAUUUGCCCUCCCCCCGGCCUGGCACCGCCGUGCCCGUCUGUCUGAGUUUGCCUGUCCAGGGGCCUCCCAGGGCUGGACCUCACGGCCCUGUACUUGUCCUUUUGAGACUGGCUUAUGCCACCCAGCACAAUGUUCUCAAGGUUCCUCCAUGUCGCAGCCUGCGUCAGGAUUCCCUUCCUUUUUAAUAUGUUGUGCUGAACCCAACAUGCCAAAAUAGUGUCAUCGGUAUAGGAAAUCAGACGCGAGCUGGCUCACAUUGCACUUCCCCCAUGAGGUCUUCAGAGCUUCAAUGGAGUUGACUUCCCGGCUUAGACAUCGCCAAGGCCCUCAGCGCACAUGGCCGUGGCCGCAGCGUGGACCACAGCGUCCGGCUCACCAGUAUGAACUAAAAUAACGUCUUAUGGCUCCCCCACUGGCUGACUCAAUGGACCACCCCCUUCUGGCCAAGGGGAUAUCCUAAAACUAAAUUGCCUGCUGCAAGGAGGGAAGUCAGACAUGCCUUAUCAUGUCCCCUCCCUUCCUGGGGACAUCCUCUGUAACCCGUUAGCAGGCCUAAGGGUAUGCACGGCACACCUGCAGGUCCUCAGUUUACACAGUAAGUGCAUGUCCAGUGGCUCAUCCCUCUGACUAACAGACUUCCUUAUCUUAACAUCCCAAGCCUUUAGACAAAACUUCAUGUCUUUAACCAAUUUUACAAG